rnacentral:rRNA from 1 species
CAGUAGCCGCGGUAAUACGUAGGUGGCAAGCGUUGUCCGGAAUUAUUGGGCGUAAAGGGCUCGCAGGCGGUUUCUUAAGUCUGAUGUGAAAGCCCCCGGCUCAACCGGGGAGGGUCAUUGGAAACUGGGAAACUUGAGUGCGGAAGAGGAGAGUGGAACUCCACGUGUAGCGGUGAAAUGCGUAGAGAUGUGGAGGAACACCAGUGGCGAAGGCGACUCUCUGGUCUGUAACUGACGCUGAGGAGCGAAAGCGUGGGGAGCGAACAGGAUUAGAUACCCGCGUAGUCCCUGUCUCUUAUAC